UGGCGUCACCGGGGGUGGCCCGCCGCAACGGCGGGUCUGAGAGAGUCCCCAGGAACCUGAUCCGGCUCAUACCGGCGGAGGGAGAGUGACAGGCCGCGCCC
rnacentral:ncRNA from 2 species